GUUCUGUUUGUGUCCACUGUAUCACUCAAAGAAGUAGGUUAGUACUGGUAUGGCAAAUGUGUUGACGGCUUCCACUGUGUUUUUUCCAUUCAAAUGUACUUUGAGAAUGUUAAUCUGUUGGUGUACAGUUUUGACAGUAUUUGUUUAGUUUUCUUCUGUUCUGUGAAUCUGGCCUGCUGUAAUCCCAAAUACUUGUAUACUUCACCCUCUUCCAUGGAUUCGAUAAUGUCUCCAUUUUCAAGAGUGAAGUCUCCUUUCUUUAGGACUCCCUUUUCUAUGUGGAGUGUUUUGCAUUUGUCUAGGCCAAACUCCAU
rnacentral:lncRNA from 1 species